AGAGUUUGAUCCUGGCUCAGGACGAACGCUGGCGGCGUGCUUAACACAUGCAAGUCGAACGGAAAGGUCUCUUCGGAGAUACUCGAGUGGCGAACGGGUGAGUAACACGUGGGUGAUCUGCCCUGCACUUUGGGAUAAGCCUGGGAAACUGGGUCUAAUACCGGAUAGGACCAUGGGAUGCAUGUUCUGUGGUGGAAAGCUAUUUGCGGUGUGGGAUGGGCCCGCGGCCUAUCAGCUUGUUGGUGGGGUGAUGGCCUACCAAGGCGACGACGGGUAGCCGGCCUGAGAGGGUGUCCGGCCACACUGGGACUGAGAUACGACCCAGACUCCUACGGGAGGCAGCAGUGGGGAAUAUUGCACAAUGGGCGCAAGCCUGAUGCAGCGACGCCGCGUGGGGGAUGACGGCCUUCGGGUUGUAAACCUCUUUCACCAUC
rnacentral:rRNA from 1 species